GCCAGUGUAAGUCAGGAGGGAGCACCCAUAGACGCUCAAUUAGUAUCAUCAAGAAACAGGUGGAAUAUGCUGGAAAGCUGCACAUGUUGUAAAUGUCACAAAUGGAGGAAGAAGGGAGACAACAUUUCCUUCCAUAAGUAAGUGGUUUUGGUUAU